rnacentral:rRNA from 1 species
UACGUAGGCGGUUUAUUAAGUCAGAUGUGAAAGCCCCGGGCUUAACCUGGGAACUGCAUUUGAUACUGGUAAACUAGAGUAUGGUAGAGGGGGUAGAAUUCCUAGUGUAGCGGUGAAAUGCGUAGAUAUUAGGAGGAAUACCAGUGGCGAAGGCGGCCCCCCUGGACCCAAUACUGACGCUGAGGUACGAAAGCGUGGGUAGCGAACA